rnacentral:rRNA from 1 species
AGAGUUUGAUCCUGGCUCAGAACGAACGCUGGCGGCGUGCUUAACACAUGCAAGUCGAACGGAGUUAGUCGGUAGCACAAUGGGCUCAUAGGGUAAGAGGUAUGAGCUUAAUGUGCUACUGGCUAACUUAGUGGCGGACGGGUGAGUAACACGUAGGUAACCAACCCUAAAGCGGGGGACAACCCAGGGAAACUUGGGCUAAUACCGCAUAAGACCACGGACUGGGAGGUCUGUGGUAAAAGUAGCAAUACACUUUAGGAUGGGCCUGCGGCCUAUCAGGUAGUUGGCGGGGUAAAGGCCCACCAAGCCUAAGACGGGUAGCCGGACUGAGAGGUUGAACGGCCACACUGGAACUGAGAUACGGUCCAGACUCCUACGGGAGGCAGCAGUGGGGAAUUUUGCGCAAUGGGCGAAAGCCUGACGCAGCGACGCCGCGUGGAGGAUGAAGGUUUUCGGAUUGUAAACUCCUUUUGUAGGGGAAGAUAAUGACGGUACCCUAUGAAUAAGCCACGGCUAACUCUGUGCCAGCAGCCGCGGUAAGACAGAGGUGGCAAGCGUUGUUCGGAAUUACUGGGCUUAAAGGGCGCGUAGGUGGUGGCAUAAGUCCGAGGUGGAAGACUAAGGCUUAACCUUAGAAUUGCCUUGGAAACUGUAUCACUUGAGUCAGCGAGGGGAUGGCGGAAUUCCAGGUGUAGCGGUGAAAUGCGUAGAUAUCUGGAGGAAGGCCGGUGGCGAAGGCGGCCAUCUGGCGCUGAACUGACACUGAGGCGCGAAAGCGUGGGGAGCAAACAGGAUUAGAU